rnacentral:rRNA from 1 species
AAAAGCUCGUAGUUGGAUCUCAGUUCCAGACGGGUGGUCCGCCAAACGGUGGUUACUGCCUGUUCUGAACAGCCAGCCGGUUUCUCUUGAUGAUCUUCACCGGUUGUCUUGGGUGACCGGCAAGUUUACUUUGAAAAAAUUAGAGUGCUCAAAGCAGGCGCGACGCCUGAAUAAUGGUGCAUGGAAUAAUGGAAUAGGACCUCGGUUCUAUUUUGUUGGUUUUCGGAACACGAGGUAAUGAUUAAGAGGGACAGACGGGGGCAUUCGUAUUGCGACGCUAGAGGUGAAAUUCUUGGACCGUCGCAAGACGAACUACUGCGAAAGCAUUUGCCAAGAAUGUUUCCAUUAAUCAAGAACGAAAGUUAGAGGUUCGAAGGCGAUCAGAUACCGCCCUAGUUCUAACCAUAAACGAUGCCAGCCAGCGAUCCGGCUGUGUUCCUCAAAUGACACGCCGGGCAGCUUCCGGGAAACCAAAGCUUUUGGGUUCCGGGGGAAGUAUGGUUGCAAAGCUGAAACUUAAAGGAAUUGACGGAAGGGCACCACCAGGAAUGGAGCCUGCGGCUUAAUUUGACUCAACACGGGAAAACUUACCCGGCCCGGACACAGGAAGGAUUGACAGAUUAAGAGCUCUUUCUUGAUUCUGUGGGUGGUGGUGCAUGGCCGUUCUUAGUUGGUGGAGCGAUUUGUCUGGUUAAUUCCGAUAACGAACGAGACUCUAGCCUACUAAAUAGACGUUCCGAUCAUCUCCGUCGGACGUUCUUCUUAGAGGGACAAGCGGCGUUUAGCCGCACGAGACAGAGCAAUAACAGGUCUGUGAUGCCCUUAGAUGUCCGGGGCCGCACGCGCGCUACAUUGAAGGAAUCAGCGUGUGCUUUCCCGGUCCGACAGGACUGGGUAACCCGUUGAACCUCCUUCGUGCUGGGGAUAGGGGCUUGUAAUUGUUCCCCUUGAACGAGGAAUUCCCAGUAAGCACGAGUCAUAAGCUCGUGUUGAUUACGUCCCUGCCCUUUGUACACACCGCCCGUCGCUACUACCGAUUGAAUGAUUUAGUGAGGUCUUCGGACUGGCGCUCGGAGCGGCCUUCGGGUCGCGCCGGCGUGCCGGAAAGAUGACCAAACUUGGUCAUUUAGAGGAAGUAAAAGUCGUAACAAGGUUUCC